rnacentral:rRNA from 1 species
GAUGAACGCUGGCGGCGUGCCUAAUACAUGCAAGUCGAGCGAACGGACGAGAAGCUUGCUUUUCUGAUGUUAGCGGCGGACGGGGGAGUAACACGUGGAUAACCUACCUAUAAGACUGGGAUAACUUCGGGAAACCGGAGCUAAUACCGGAUAAUAUUUUGAACCGCAUGGUUCAAAAGUGAAAGCCGGUCUUCCUGUCACUUAUAGAUGGAUCCGCGCUGCAUUAGCUAGUUGGUAAGGUAACGGCUUACCAAGGCAACGAUGCAUAGCCGACCUGAGAGGGGGAUCGGCCACACUGGAACUGAGACACGGUCCAGACUCCUAAGGGAGGCAGCAGUAGGGAAUCUUCCGCAAUGGGCGAAAGCCUGACGGAGCAACGCCGCGUGAGUGAUGAAGGUUUUCGGAUCGUAAAACUCUGUUAUUAGGGAAGAACAUAUGUGUAAGUAACUGUGCACAUCUUGACGGUACCUAAUCAGAAAGCCACGGCUAACUACGUG